GCCCGGUGUGGUGGCGCGUGCCUGUAGUCCCAGCUACUUGGGAGGCUGAGGCUGGAGGAUAGCUUGAGCCCAGGAGUUCUGGGCUGCAGUGCGCUAUGCCGAUCAGGUGUCCGCACUAAGUUCGGCAUCAAUAUGGUGACCUCCCAGGAGCGGGGGACCACCAGGUUGCCUAAGGAGGGGUGAACCAGCCCAGGUCGGAAACAUCUACUGAAAGAGGUACAGCAAUAUAUUAAUAGCAACACAGUCAUAGUAGGGGACUUCAACAUCCCACUCUCUC
rnacentral:SRP_RNA from 1 species